rnacentral:rRNA from 1 species
UACGUAGGUGGCAAGCGUUGUCCGGAUUUAUUGGGUUUAAAGGGUGCGUAGGCGGUUCCUUAAGUCAGUGGUGAAAUACUUCAGCUCAACUGGAGAGGUGCCAUUGAUACUGGGGAACUUGAGUACUGAUGAGGUAGGCGGAAUGGACGGUGUAGCGGUGAAAUGCUUAGAUAUCGUCCAGAACACCGAUAGCGAAGGCAGCUGGCUACACGAAUAUUGACACUGAUGCACGAAAGCGUGGGGAUCAAACAGG